rnacentral:rRNA from 1 species
UCGUAGUAGAAGCUCGGCCUCCGGUCGGCCGGUCCGCCUCACCGCGUGCACUGGUUCGGCCGGGGCUUCACCUUCUGCGGAACCGCAUCUCCUUCACUGGGGGUGUCGGGGAAACAGGACGUUUACUUUGAAAAAAUUAGAGUGCUCCAGGCAGGCCUAUGCUCGAAUACAUUAGCAUGGAAUAAUGGAAUAGGACGUGUGGUCUUAUUUCGUUGGUUUCUAGGACCGCCGUAAUGAUUAAUAGGGACAGUCGGGGGCAUCAGUAUUCAAUCGUCAGAGGUGAAAUUCUUGGAUCGAUUGAAGACUAACUACUGCGAAAGCAUUUGCCAAGGAUGUUUUCAUUUAUCAGGAACGAAAGUUAGGGGAUCGAAGACGACCAGAUACCGUCGUAGUCUUAACCAUAAACUAUGCCGACUAGGGAUCGGACGGUGUUAUUUCUUGACCCGUUCGGCACCUUACGAGAAAUCAAAGUGCUUGGGCUCCAGGGGGAGUAUGGUCGCAAGGCUGAAACUUAAAGAAAUUGACGGAAGGGCACCACCAGGGGUAAACGGACUGUUUAGCCGCAGUAAACUCUGCUCCUGAAAGCCGCCCGAAAGGGUCAGGUGGUUGCUCCUGGCAUCGUGCCGAACACAUGGCUAGUCUCCUCGGAGGCGACACCCUCAAAUUGCGGGAAACUCCUAAAGCUCACGCUCCAAAGCCGUCUGUGAAAGCAGUUCGGUGGCCAGGUUAAUUGCCUCGGGUAUUGGAACAACGCGUGAGAUGCAACAAUGGACAAUCCGCAGCCAAGCCUCUAAGUCUCUUGUGACUCUGGGUGAACGUGCUUCACCCAGUUUGCUCAAGGCGGGAGGACUCACAGAUCGAAACCGGAGUCACGACCUCUGGUCAUGACUCCGGUGGUUCGGCGUCUCGAUUCUGCUGAGUCCUGGUUCGCGUCCCAGAGCCAAGCUGCCUCUGGGUCGUGGAUCUGCCUCUGAAUUCACGGCAUCUGCCUCCGAAUUCAGGGCAACUGCCUAACAGGCGGUUGGUUCUGAUUCAGGACCAGCCUGAGUCACGAGAGAUAUGGGGAAGGUUCAGAGACUUGACGGGGGUGGGUGAAUUCACUGCUGCUGCAACAAUAUAAAUGGGGAGAGAUCCUCUUCUUCUUCUUCCAACAACCAAACCAAACCACAACUGAACCUCAAACAAGACCCACAAGCUCUUCAAAAUGUCCCAUUCUUCUCCCUCUCCUGUUCUCGCUAACGGGAGCGAGUAUGUCGUGAGGGAUGGAGGUUCGUCUGGUCAGGCAUAAGGAACGAGAAUGCAGUGGCGUGGUUUGCUUAAGAUAAAGUCCGGGCUUAUGGGAAACCAUAGGUAGCUUUGCAAUCGAAUGCAUGGCCCCAAAACGGGAGCCUGCGGCUUAAUUUGACUCAACACAGGGAAACUCACCAGGUCCAGACACAACGAGGAUUGACAGAUUGAGAGCUCUUUCUUGAUUUUGUGGGUGGUGGUGCAUGGCCGUUCUUAGUUGGUGGAGUGAUUUGUCUGCUUAAUUGCGAUAACGAACGAGACCUUAACCUGCUAAAUAGUCCGUAUUACCCCGGUAGUACGCCGACUUCUUA